AACUUGUCAAGGAAUUUAAAUAUUUAGGAGUUUUAUUUUUAAGAACAGACUCUUUCUACAGUACUAAUAAAUAAGUAGUGACGAGAGAUACCCGAGUUAUGUACGCAAUAAUUAAGUAGUCUAGAGAAUAAAAUCUAUCGAUUGAUUGUCAACUUGAUAUGUUUGAUAAAAUGAUUGUUUCAAUUUUACUGUAUGGUUCUGAAUUGUGGGGUUUUGAAAAGUUAUAUUUAAGAGAGUCAACUCUCCAGGCUGAUGUGUACAGUAUACACUCUUGCUUUUUGUAUAAUAUUGUCUGUAUUGUUUAUUUUCUCUAUGGUGUUUUAUACAAUAUGAGAAUACGAAUUGAAUUGAGAAUAUGAAUUGAAUACUGUAUUUAUCUCUCAGAAUUACAUGUUUUUAUUUUAGUUUCUGUUUACAAUUGCUGUCUAUAGAUUAUGUAUAUUUUAAUGACAACAGGUAAAUUAGUUUUUAAAACUAAUUGUGCUAGCUAUAGCCGAAUGACAUUCUUCUUCUUAUUAUCAUUACAGUCUUAUUCUUUCAUAGCAUUAUCCAAAAACACAAACUGAUUUGUGAUUAUGAUAAGCAUAUGAUAUGCACUGCAUCAACUUUACAAAGAUUUACAAUUUCCAUGCAAACCUUUUCAUAUACAAUCUUUGUUCAUCAAUGAUAGACAUUAAUUUAUAACCAGAUUUAUCAAAUAAAUGGAUG
rnacentral:sRNA from 1 species